rnacentral:rRNA from 1 species
UACGAAGGGGGCUAGCGUUGCUCGGAAUGACUGGGCGUAAAGGGCGCGUAGGCGGCUUGCACAGUCAGGCGUGAAAUUCCUGGGCUCAACCUGGGGACUGCGCUUGAGACGUGUGGGCUUGAGUGGGGAAGAGGGUCGUGGAAUUCCCAGUGUAGAGGUGAAAUUCGUAGAUAUUGGGAAGAACACCGGUGGCGAAGGCGGCGACCUGGUCCUUGACUGACGCUGAGGCACGAAAGCCAGGGGAGCAAACAGG